rnacentral:rRNA from 1 species
UACGUGAGGGCGCAAGCGUUAUCCGGAAUCAUUGGGCGUAAAGCGCGCGCAGGCGGCUAUCCAAGUCAGUGGUGAAAGCCCGGAGCUUAACUCCGGAACUGCCAUUGAAACUGUUUAGCUUGAGGACGAGAGAGGUGAGUGGAAUUCCCAGUGUAGAGGUGAAAUUCGUAGAUAUUGGGAAGAACACCGGUGGCGAAGGCGGCUCACUGGCUCGUUUCUGACGCUCAGGCGGCGACAGCGUGGGGAUCAAACAGG